rnacentral:tRNA from 1 species
CUGGGUAGCUCAGUUGGUAGAGCAGCGGACUGAAAAUCCGCGUGCCGGGGAUUCGAAUUCCUCCCCA